UGAACGACUUGUCCUACUCAAGACGCAACGAAAUGCUUUUCCUGGACAAUAAGGAUUGGGAGGAGGAGGUCUUGAGGCUGACAGGAAUAUUGUCACGUGAAGACCCUGGUCGGAGGUACUCACUGAUCUGGCUGCCCGUGACAGCGAAGAGAUUAAAUCCUCUUUUGUUUCCCAAACUGGCACUGACUCUGUUAAUGGAGACAAGGUCAGAGCCUCUGCAGCUGGCUGUUGCCUGUGCCCGGGCUGAAGCACGUUGCAGGAGGGAUGGAGGACCCAGUGCUGGCAAACUCAUUAUAAUUCAGUGGCUUGUAACAAGGUGGAUGAAGAGAGCACAGCAACAUGGUUCUUCAGGAGGCUAAUUUCCCUCGAAUCAGCAAUGGAGAUGGAGAAGGAAAAUUCCUCCUUUUCCCACCUGCCUCUCCACUGAUCUCUAUUUGUAAUCACACAUGGAUUGUUAUGAUUAUUUAAUUAAAAUUAUCUUCUUCAUUGACCCAGAAGCUCCAUCAGAACACAAUUCAUGGCCACUUGUGCUCAGCCUUGCAUCCUCCAAGUACCCUGAACAAUUCUGGGCUGGUGCUCAAUGCAUAUUUGUUAGGCAAAAUGACUUCCAUGCAAUUUGUACUAAUGAUAACCAAGGAACAGAAAAGAAUCAGCAAGUUUCUAUUAACCGCCUAUGAGUACAGAUUUCCCCACCCUACCAAUCCCACCACGUGGCUUUGCACAGAGCAGCUGGUUCUGACUGAAGAAUAAUUCAGGAAGUGUAUUUGAUUGCUGUUCUGAAGAGCCUAAUGUCAGGAGCCUCAUUAUAUCACAACUGACUUUUCCUCCAGACUGAGAUGAGUGUGCAUGUUCAAGAAGACCAGAGGAAGAUACUGGAAGAGUGAAUCUGGGUUGAGGUCCCCUGCUGGAGGGCCUGAGGACAGCAGAUGCAAAAGUCAGAGCGUGAAGUCCUACCACGAGGCAGAAAGCCGAAGUAAAUGGAGACAUCAAGUAGAGAAGAGCAGAAGACGCGAAGAGCCUGCAGGCCCUGUGCCUCCCAGGCACGCAGAGGGGGCGGUGGAACAGGUGAUGGGGCAACUGUUGUCUGAGGGACCAGGCUCAGGACUGAGUUAAGAGUCAUAUCCAUACCCCCCAACUUUGUCCGUCUGUACGACCUUUAGCAAGUCGCUUGACUUCUAUAGACUUCUGUCUUCUAAUCCACACAAUGAGAGAAAUAAUGAAAAUCUCACAGAGUUGUUAUAAAAAUGAAAGUCUAUCACUUAACGAAAUCAUCUAGCCAAGUGAUGAAAGCAGGUUCACAUGUAGAGUGCUUACUCUUGGUUAUGAGCAGUAAAAGGUGAUUCCAUGUAAUAGGUGUUCUAAUGUCCCUGGGAUGAAACAACAUACCAGGCCGAUAGUGGACAUAGGCAUCUGUCGAAAACCUCGUCUAUAGCUAGCCCUUAGGAGAAAUAUCGAGAAGCGGAAUUGUGGGAAGUCAAUACCAAAAACUGUUUUAAAGAUUAUUUAGGGGAGUCUUGGUGGCUUAGUCGGUUAAGCGUCUGACUUUGGGUCAGGUCAUGAUCUUGUGGUUUGUGGGUUCAAGCCCCAAGUCGGGCUCUGUGCUGACAGAUGAGACCUAGAGCCUGCUUCAGAUUCAGUGUCUUCCUCUCAGUCUCUGCCCCUCCCCCACUCAUGCUCUGUCUCUCUCCGUCUCUCAAAAAUAAAUACAAACGUUGAAAGAAAUUUUAAAGAUCAUUUAGCAUUUCGCCAAACUGACUGAUCGUAAAAAUCAUGAGGUUAAAACCACAAAUACCAGACUUCCACUGAAGAGCAACUAAGGCAUAUUCUCCAGGGUAGGGGCCUAGACAUUGGUAUUAACAAAGUACCAGGUGAUUUUAAUGACUACAUGAAAUUGGUAAAUGCUGCAUAGUUAGUUCAACCUUUGCUAAUUAUUUAAAUCUCUUUAAGCUCUCACGACUCAAAACAGCAGCAUCAAGAUCACCUGGGAGAGUGUUAGAAUUGCAGAACCUCGG